rnacentral:lncRNA from 1 species
UCACUCUGGGUGAUAACUCCGCUUGCUCUGCUCAUCCUCGGAAGUACCACCGAACUCUGCAACUCUUCCCCUCGCGGGCUCUAACUAUUCUUUCUCCAAGUACUACAGUACUCAUCUAGGUAUCUUCCCUAGAUUACUCCACUACUCAAAUCCCCUAAAGGAUUCCAAUCAAAUAUUCUCACUCAUCACAUACUCAAAAGCACAACGCAUAUCACAGCAAUUCCUAGGCUAAGGCAUCACAAAUCAGGCCACUCUACUCCUAAUAUAUGGAAUACCUAGCCUGUCUCUAGCAUGCAAUAAUAUCUCAUAAAGUGCAUCAUAAAUAUCUCAUAACACAAAAGUAAGGGUAUUUUGGGAAAUCACCGUUCGGGCUCUGGCUGAUUGUACACACUGUUCUUUCUCGUUUUCUCUUUGAACUCUUAUUCGCUUUAGAAAAUUAUUUCUUUGAAAACUUUUCUUACUUCCUCAGUUUGAGUCCAGAAUUACCCGAAGGCGCAUCCGAAUCCCUCAAACCAAGGCUCUGAUACCAACUUGUAACACCGUAAAUUUCAAGACAAAAUUUUCAUUUUAAAUAAUCAUUUUAUUCUUAGAACACUUGUUAAAAAUCUCAUUCAUAAUCAAAUUACAAAACAUAGCUCCAUUUUCACUUGCAUAGAAAACCAGGAUCCUCCAAAACAUGACUCUUUCUCUGGUGUGUACAAUCAAGCCGGUGCCGUCCCGUGAUACUGAAGGAAACCUAAAAAACAUAACACAAAACACUGUAAGCACGAAGCUUAGUGACUUCCCCAAAAUACCACACACAUAACACAUAUUAGCCACUCGAGGCUAUAACUCUAUGGGUCCGUGCACCCAAACUCUGUGAACCUUCCGGUUCUAACUCUGUGAACCUUCCGGUUCUAACUCUAGGAACCCUCCGGUUCCAACUCUGUAAACAUGCACAGCAUAAAUCACAUAGAAAUAAUGCAGUACAACACAUAACAUACAUAGCAUACAAAUACUCUGUCACAUAACUCUGGUUACCUACUCAAGGUAAAGUAUAGUGAGAAGACUCACCUGGCAAGCAGAAAGCAGAUAUCUCCACACUUGAAUCUCGAACUCGCCACCGCCUAACACGUAAGGCAAAUACUCUCAUGAAUAUAACUCUCGAGACUAGAAUCAACCCUCUCAUGGCACCCUCUUAAGGGUAAAAGACUAUUUUACCCCUCUCUUGGCCCAAAGGCCACAUCGCUGACCAAACCCUAAAAGUCAACGGUCAACUCUUGGUCAAGGUCAAGGUCAAAGUCAACCCCUGAUUGACCCUACUCGCCGAGUCAGCCCUAUGACUCGCCGAGUUUCCAUACUCAGAACUUCACUCAAUCUGCGACUCAACUCGCUGAGUCACCCCGAGACUCGCCGAGUCCCACAACUCUGAGUCCACUCGCACACAACUCACCGAGUCAUCCCUUGACUCACCGAUUCUCGACUCAACCAGAAAAUAUUGGGACUCUUCGACAAGACUCGCCGAGUCCAAGAACAGACUCGCCGAGUCUAAGGCUAUCUUCAACCUACUCGCCGAGUUGUUCAUACAACUCGCCGAGUUCCAGGCCAUCUUCAUCCAACUCGCCGAGUUGUUCUUCCAACUCGUCGAGUUCCAGCUCAUCUUCAAGCAACUCGUCGAGUCCACCCAUGUGACUCGCCGAGUACCACCGGUCUGAAUCCAUACAGAAGCACUCCAGGCCAUGCAAUUGAUCCAAAACAUAGAUCUAGCCUCCUACAACCCAUCCAUCACGUAAAGUGGCAAACUUUACGUGAAUCCAAAGAGAUCUAGGCCUUAUUCACUUUAUAGCUAGGGUUUGGGACAUGAUGGCUUCACUAAGCACCCUAACACAGGAACUUUGAUGCACUCUGGGCCUUCAAUAUUCUAGAUCUGAGGUAGCAACCUCAGAUCUAACCUCCAAACUCUAAAACAUACCAAGAUAUACUCCCCACAAACCCCAAAAUGAUGAAUCCAUAUGAUUGAUAGCCCAAGAACGAGAUAUUACCUCCAAAAGAAUGCCCCAACUGCAAUGAAACUCGAAUCCAAGCAAAGCCCUUUGAUCCAAGCCUCUUCUCCUUCAAGAUUUCUUCAACAAACACCUCCCUAAGCUCCAAUACACUCCAAUCUUCUUCAAUCAUGCUUUCUAGGGUUUCUGGACUUCAAGGGGAAUCAAAGAGGCUGGGGAGAGGAUAUAAUGUUCUUUAAAUAGGGCUCAUUCCCCAAAUUUAGGGUUUUCUCCACUCAGAAACUACUCGCCGAGUCCAUCUUUGGACUCACCGAGUAGGCCACUUAACAGGCGACCCAGUCACGACUCUACUCGCCGAGUCCAUCCAUGGACUCGCCGAGUCACUCUUUCACAACUUACUCUUGAUAUUUCAGGAUGUUACGAUUCUCCACCACUUAAAUUAGGCUUCGUCCAUGAAGCCUACAACAACUCAACUCCAGAAAUACUCCCACAACGUGCCACCUGGCCUUAAUCGGACCAGGUCUCACAAGACAUACCCAUCGAAACUCGAACACACUUUCCCUUCCUUCACGGUGUCCUGACCACUGUCUCGAACCGGGCACCGACUGUACCCCCUGAUCAUCACUCUCAAUAACCGAGAAUUACCCAAGAUGCAUCACUGCCCCAAAUCUCAAUAAUCACUUGACCCAUAAGGGUUAGAAAACCAUGAACCAUUGGAUCCCCGAUCCGAAUCCCACUCUAUCCAUUCCGGGACGACUGAGAGACCCAUUCUCAAUCUCAGAGCAACUCUCACAAGUUCUCCUCUUGCAAUCACAUACACAUGCUGAACUAGCUCCAACACCCCCAGGUUGGAAAACCCGAUACACUGAUGAUAUCCUCAAACAUCCCCCAGGAUGAACCACUGAUACAUACCCAAUACCCUGAUCAGAAUCACACUGAGAGUCCAGGAUUCUCUCCCUGUAUCCCUUUCGAGCCUCCUGGCUCUAUACCCGCGGAAUCCCUUCCGCGUCCUCAGCAGACAUCCCAUCAUGAUGUCAUUCCAUACCACUUUCACAGACACAGUGUUCAACCCCCAUACUCCAAAUCAUCCACUCUCACUACUACCUUCACUUCCGUGAACCAACACUUCCCCCCCAGGGUCACAUACCUUUCUCUUCCCUUACCCAGGGAAAUCCACUUGACAACCUUGCCACUACUCCAUGUAUCGCAUAUGCUCUGGAUCUGCUCGCAAGGGCUCUCGGGUCCAUGCGCUACCUCUCCUCAGUAAAUGAGGGUCCGACACCUCCUCCCAUACAACAGUUCAAAGGGUGGCAUACCAAUGCACUAAUGAUGGCUGUUGAUAUAGGAUAACUCAACCAAGGAUAAAUACGUGCCGCCACUCCCUCCGAAUCUAAUACACAUGCCCGAAGCAUGUCUUCGAGCGUCUGAAUCGUUCGCUCUCUCUGAAGUGUCCUCAGACAUCAUCAUGAUAAGCUCUAGCUCAUUUCCCAUAUCCCUCUUCGAGCCUGAGCACCAGGUCAGCUUUUGACUCCACAGCUGAGCCCCCAAAGGUCACCCAUAUCAUGAUCCAGAUAUCCCACUAACUUCCUCCCCGUGACCACUAUCCCAGCCCAGGGACAUGCAAGUCAUGAAAUCCUCUUUUCCUCAUGCGAGAAAAAUACAACCCAACCGAGGAUCGUCUCAACUCCGAUCUCUGGUUUCUGCUGCGCAUAUUCCUUGCGCAUCUCACCACAUUUCCCGACAGAGACGGAGACCCCAGUCUCUCCCCCGGUUCAACAUUCAGGCUCCAAAAACUCAAUACUAGGGCUACUCAAGCCCAAAACUCUUCCACAUCAUACACUGAUCGGAGAACAUUCCAUCAUCACACUCUCUUGCCAUCUAGUGAGUACUACGGCUCCCCGCAGUAUCACAACACCCUCUGACUAGUGAGUACUACGGCUCCCCGCAGUAUCACAACACCCUCUGACUAGUGAGUACUUAGGCUCCCCGCAGUAUCACAACACCCUCUGACUAGUGAGUACUACGGCUCCCCGCAGUAUCACAACACCCUCUGACUAGUGAGUACUACGGCUCCCCGCAGUAUCACAACACCCUCUGACCCCACUAGCUCGUGCUCCGCAGACUAUCAUAGGCGGCUACCCAUACUCGACUCGAAUAUUCAUCACAGACUCUGGAGGCAAUCGACAUAACAAAUGCCCACCCUUGCGAAGAUCCAUUCUCUCAAAUAAUCUCCCUGGAUGCCCAUACUCGAAGGGUUCCCACUAGAUCCCUAGAUACCUGAUAUACC